GUGUGGGUACCUUUUCAGUCCAGGGGGGUGAAAUCUUUCUAUUACAAGAGAUCUCUAAAAACACUGCACCUCACUUACCUUGGUAUGCUGCAUAUGUUAUACUACAUGAAAGAAAAAAACUGCAAACUGCUUUUAUUAUGACAUAUAAUGCUUGAGUAAUGCCUGAUUGCGAUAUUCUUAUACAGUAACUAUUUUAGAGUCGAAAUAAGUAUAACUGUACAAAAUAUUCUCUGUUUUUUGUCUUAACACUUAUCCGAUUUUGACGAAUUGUUCUUGAGCCGACUUUACUUUGUUGUCCUAUUUAAAUGUGUCGUUUCUUUUAAAUUUAUAUAUGAAAUAUAUAUGUGCGGAAUAUUUUAUGGUGUAUUUAUUGAGAGUGCGUUCAAGCGGCUGGAGUCUCCGCAUCAUAUUGCAGCAUGGUGGGGGUGGAGCCAGGAGUGAAACGAGGCCUUUAGCCCCUCCCCCUCCAUGUUGACGCCUUAUUCUCUUAGACACGCAAGCACAACAAUAUGGAGGGGGGUGCGAGGUGGAGGAAAAGGAGGAGGUCUAUUUUGCCUGGACAAACGGAGCCGUGUAUCAGGUUCUGGUUGACGUCUGAAGGUCAAAUCGUCCUCUUUCUUUUCUCAGUAUUUUUUUGCCCUCCACUUUUCUUUUUACAAACUUUAGAAGGCCAAAACGCUAACCCCCACAUGUUGCAGCUCAUCUCUGACGAAGGGAACCAUUUCUGAACCAUACUGACGUCAAAUAUUGUCGGAUAGUCAACUUUUUUUUUCUUUUUUUUUCAAUCAUCCCAAGCUGCUAAUUGGUACGUUAGCCAUGCGAACUCCCUGAGCCAGUAAAGAGCAGGUGGGAAAAGAAAAGAAGAAAACUUUUAAAAGCAGCAAGGGAAGAAAAGGUCGAUGUUGAAACGGCAGAAAUCUUUAAAUCCUGGUGAAAAUUUAAAGUGUUGAAUCUUCUUUCCUUUUGAAAUUCGUCAAGUUUUUUCUUGUGCCAGAACCUUUUUGUUAAAGAGCAGGAAACAGGUCUCAUUCCACAAAAAAAGAAGACACGCCUCAGCCUUAAGUGCGUUCUUACGUAGUCGUCAGAUUUCCAUGUGCUCACAAAACUCUACCGGCGUUUUCAUCUCUUUUCAUAUUUCAUGUAAACCACUAGUAUUGCUGCAGGAUUACAAUGUACGAACAGCUUUCAAAGAUUUACUCUGGCAUGUUUGUACUGAUGUCAGAACUGAAAACAAGUCUGGGUCAAACUGCGUUCAGAAAUCACUCUCGGCUUCAAAUCAGCAGAAAUUCAGAAAUGAGGAAGAGAUCAUCGUAAAAUAAAAAAAAUCUCAAUCAUGUAAAAAUUUGCUGAUGUCAAUCCAAAGACGAACCUUUCCAGACGCGGUUUGACUCAGACUUGACUGGAAUGUCCUCACAGAGCUGGAUUACAGAGACCUGUGCCUGUAUAAUGAACCAAGGUUGAGUUGUGUUUUGAUGAAUUGCUGUUUUUUGUUUUUUUCUUUAUAAACUGUUUUCAUGGGUUGUCCCUCACCCAGUCAGAGGAUCAGAGACAUGGAGCUUUUGAGUGUUGUCCAUCCUGUUCCAAAGUCGAACAAAAAGGCCCUCUGUCCUUGAAUCGAUGUUUACUGUAAUGUUUACUCCCAUGGCUAUCAGAUGUUUCACCUGUUUUCAUCCCAUUAUCAUUCCAAUAAUGACUUUGAACCAAAUAUUGCACAAGAGAUUAGGCUCCUGAUGCCGUGUUUCCCAUGUAGACACACACACACACACACAAUGGUGUUGGUGACAGAUAUUCGACAGUGGCCAAGGAUCGAACACAAUAUCUGCGUGAGCUGAUUGUCAUAUUCUUUUCCAUGUAGCAUCUCUCUCACUCUCGUGUCAGUUUGAUUUCAAAGUGAAGAUCUUGGGCUCUGAUACCUCUGAGUGAGGCACCAGCAAAUGGAUGUUUGUAACACGUUUGAACAGUGAACCUUCACCACCAGAUGAUCCAUGUCUCAGUCUCUCUGUGUGCUGCAAAGCCUCUGUUGUACCAACAGCUCUAUUCCUCUCGGUUUGAAUGUCUCUUUCUUUUGUAACUCUCUCUCUCUCUCUCUCUCAUAGGUUGUUGGCCUUUUAGUGUUGCUUUGCUUCAGUUUGAAGUGUAUCUUUGACUAAUACUUGCAAUAAAAUGCUUUGCUUUACCCGGGUUGUCUUUGAGUUUUAUAAAUUGAAUUAAUUUUGUUAAUGAAACACAAACUACAUGAAGAAAUCCCAGCAGCAAAAGUGACUCCACACAGGUGGUUUGUAGUCGGGGUGGGCUGAUAAUUGGACUUGGCUGAUCGCCGUUUAUUUUACAGAUGGCUAACAAAAUUCACUGAAAGCUGCAGUACUUUGGCUCGGCUGUCUGUGUGUCUUCCCCUCUGGGUCUGGUUUCUUUCCCUCACUGACCACCAGUGUUAAUUCUGGCUGCUGUUUUAGAUUUAGUCUCAGUUUUUUGAUUAAAAUGCAUUUUAGUUUUGAUCACAUUUUAGUUUUAGACUCAACACAAACUGGAAAAGUGUAGAAGAUGCAUGGAGGCAGAGAGGAUUACAGUCUUAAUGAUUUUAAAAGCAAACUGAAAACGUACAUUUUUAGUAUUUCUUGUAACUAAAUUUUAAAACAUUAACUUUAAGUCGUUAUUUUUUAAGUUUCAUUCUGUUUCUUUGUUUUUAGAUUUUAACAUAAACCUCCAGUGUUUCCUUAUCUUGAGUUUUAAAAUGACGUUUCCUCAGUGCGCACAUUUCUGUUUCCACGAAAUCAAGCCCUUUUUAAGUUUACACAUUUUAUUACUGUUUCUGUUGCAUUUAGAUUGUAGGGUGGGAAUAAAGGGGUUAUGUUGGGGUAGAUUCGGGUAUUCUUUAUUUCUUUUUAUUCCUUUUUCUGUGUAAAGCACUUUGUCCUACAUGGUUGUGUAUGAAAAGUGCUAUCAAGACUGAUUGAUUCAGUCAUUUUAAAUGUCCAAAGGUCCAUCCAAAAAACCUUUUUGUCUCAUUAAAUCUGUAUUCGUCUGAGUUUUUGUCCUGUCAUUAUCAUAAAAAAGACAGGGUGUCCAUUCUGUUUCACCAGGUAGAGCUCAAAUCAUGCUUAAUCCCUAAAACUGUUGAGAAAGUUGGAUCUCUUUAAGCAUUCAUAUUUUCUUCUGUCAGGCAGGAAACCCUCAGAGAAUAGAUCUUUCAUUCAUUGCAUAAUUGGGAAACGUGCAAACAGCUGCAUGCCGAGUUGUGGAAUGCAGGAAGCCGAGGUUGUUGACAUUGAGCGUACAGCUUGGCAUAAAUUGCAGUUGGCUGCGACGAGGAUGGGAUUCGAACCCACGCGUGCAGAGCACAAUGGAUUAGCAGUCCAUCGCCUUAACCACUCGGCCACCUCGUCACCACACCUGUUAAUCAUUGACAUACGCAUCAGUAGGUGAAAGGUGACAGACUGCAAUUGUAUUGUUUUAAAGCUGCUAUGAGGAAUUUUAAGUAUAUGAGUCUAGCGCCCCCUGUGGCCAGGCUGUAUCCUGCAACAAAAAAUCAUUCUGCUUUCUUAUGAUAAUUGGACAUGUCACCCAUGGAGAAUCUUUAUAGAGGACAAUUUAAACCCAUUUUAGUUUCUGCAGCGUGUUGUUAAAGGUUUUGUUUGACUCCUUCCUCCCCGCUGCAGUUUCAGGUACUAAAGCUACUUUAAAGCUGCUGUGAGUAACUUUCAGUUUCAGCUUCAGAACUUUGCUGUUCUUGCCUUUUACACGCAAAAGUCGUGUCAUCUAAUAAAAACUCAUUCUGUUGAUUUUGACAGGCUAAAGUGUCAUUUGUAAUAGAUUUUUUUAAUGAUAUGUUCUGUUGAUUUAGUUUUCCCCUGAUUUUGGUCAUUUCAGUGAAUUUUCUUUGUGAUUUUUCCGAGUGUUUCUGUUCCCUGUAGUCCUAUCUUUUGAGUUUUCAGUUUGUGUCAGACCCCUGUUCCCUCAUGUUCUCUUUGUUUUAUUCUUUAUAUCAGUUUUCAGUGUUUCCUGUUUUAUUUUGUAGUACUUUAUUCCCUGUGUUUGAAGUCUUGUUUUACUUCCUCAGUUUUCCCUCCUCUG